rnacentral:lncRNA from 1 species
UCCUUAGGCCUUUGACAAGCUAUGUUGAACCUCAGUAAAUUCCAGUCUAAUUGUGGGGAGCUCUUGCUGCCAGCAAAUCUUGCCUCAGGCCUACAGCAAUGCCCGGGAGUACAUUUACCUUGUAGAUGUGUCAAGAUAUAUUAAGGGAGGAGUGGUUUUGGAAUGAAGUGGCUUUGCUACUUGAAUAACCUCUGAUUUCUCCACCCUAAAUUUUCUUGAUCAAACUUGUUAGUGUCUGUAGGUAAAUUAAUUUUAUGUAACUUGUAACUGUACUUUAAAUUGUAUGUGUGUGAUCAGGAAUGAAUGCGCCAUCCGAGGCCAGAGGGAUUCGAUACCCCUGGAGCAGUUCUUGAUAGUUGUGCCAUGUAAUGUGGGUGUUAGGAACCAAACUCUGGUCUUCUGCAAGCAUAGUAGGUGAUCUUAACUGCUGAGCCAUCUUUCCAGCCCCUAAAACUUUAAUUAGUACAUAUUUUAAAAGGUAUUUUUUCCUGUCUCAUCUAUUUACCUUCCGGUCUACUUUUACUAUGGUUAUAUGGAUAUGUAUUUUAUGCUCUUUGCAGAGUUCUUGAGGAUGAGCCAAACUGUAUACCUGUAUACUUUUUUUUUUUUUUAGAUUUAUUUAUUUAUUAUACGUAAGUACACUGUAGCUGUCUUCAGACACUCCAGAAGAGGGCAUCAGAUUUCAUUAUGGAUGGUUGUGAGCCCCCAUGUGGUUGCUGGGAUUUGAACUCAGGACCUUCAGAAGAGCAGUCGGUGCUCUUAACCACCGAGCCUUCUCCCCAGCCCCCAAACUGUAUACUUUUAAAAAUAGUAAUGAAUGGGUAGUGAUGUGGAGGUGUGUGGAGGGUGCGGUGUAGUUGGUUCAAUCCUUUCCCAGUAGUGUUACUUUAGUUGUUUGCCAGUGACGCACUUGAGGUGAAUUUUAGCCAGAAUAUUGGUUACAUAAAACAAAGCUUAUGUUGACAGACCUUCC